ACAUUUCCUUUGGUUUACCGACUCAUCAAACUUGCUUUGACAUUGCCGGUAGCGACGACAUCGGUUGAAAGAGUUUUCUCAGUCAUGAAUAUCCUAAAAACAGAUUUGAGAAAUAAAAUAGCUGAUGAUUGGUUGAAUGAUAUGGUGAUAUGCUAUGUUGAGCGAGAUAUAUUUGCUGGAAUUGAUGACAAGAAGAUUGUAGUACAUUUUCAUUUCUUGCGAGAACGUAGAGGCCAUCUACCAGAACCUCUUUGUAUCAUUACAACUUAG
rnacentral:rRNA from 1 species